GUUUGCAGAGAGAAUUUUACAGGGGGAGUCAAUCGAUCUUGACACUUCAAAGAAGGCAGUACACAAGUUGAGGCUGGACAUAGCCACUUCCCCCCCUCAGAGAAUCUGAUGAUCUAAGCAGCCUGUGCUUUUAUUGUGGGAUGGAGGACCAGGAUGAAACACAAUAGAUUUGCUGUGACGUCUGUCAGAAGUGGUACCACCAUGAAUGUUGUUGGGAAUAGAAUGAUUUUGUGUGUUUUACUAUAAGUUGUGUUUCACUAUAUAAGUUUUAGAUGUGUGAACAAUGAGAAUACUGAAUGAUUUCAGCUGAUCUGAAUGUGUUUGCUUUGCAGAAGUGGAGAAGUACAGGAGAGGAAGAGACAUGAAGUCUGAGGAGCACAUACCGCAAUGCUUAGAUAAUUAGUUUCAUAUAUGGUAAAAAGAAUAGAAAGUGAUGUACAGAUAGUAAGGUACAGCACAUGUAGGGAGUUGUGUUGUUCUCUUGUCUUUCAAAACAGGAACCACGCCCCCACCGCCAGCGGGAAGGAGUCAGAUUAACACGAGGCAGGGGCGUGGUGUGGUGAAGGAGGGAGUGGAACUGCCAAUGAGAAGAGGACAAUGCCUCGCGUGCACAAUGACACUCUGUUACGCUCAAAUAUACUGGGUCAGGGGAAGGACAGGAGGUCAGACUUCGUGAACUGACACACCUUUGUUGUUCGGCAGGGACGUGAAGUUGAGAGCCAGAGCUCUGUAAUUUUAUUCCUUUACUGCUUAAUAAACUACAU